rnacentral:rRNA from 1 species
AGAGUUUGAUCCUGGCUCAGGGUUAACGCUGGCGGCGUGCCUAACACAUGCAAGUCGAACGGUUCUAAGCGCGAGCUUAGGAUAGUGGCGAACGGGUGAGUAAAAGGUAGGAAUCUACCCCUUGGACGGAGAUAGCUACUGGAAACGGUAGGUAAACUUCGAUAAGCCCGAGAGGGGAAAGUGGUGAGACAGCCGAGGGAUGAGCCUACUCUCCAUCAGGUAGUUGGUGAGAUAAAAGCUUACCAAGCCGAUGACGGAUAACCGGUGUGAGAGCAUGAACGGUCACAAGGGCACUGAGAGACGGGCCCUACUCCUACGGGAGGCAGCAGUGGGGAAUCUUGGACAAUGGGCGAAAGCCUGAUCCAGCGACGCCGCGUGGAGGAAGAAGUCCUUCGGGAUGUAAACUUCUGAACUAGCCGAAUAAAAGGCCUGUGGACACACAGGAGAGGAAAGUAGGCUAGGAAAAGUCCCGGCUAACUACGUGCCAGCAGCCGCGGUA